rnacentral:rRNA from 1 species
CAGCCGCCGGGGAAUACCAGCACCUCGAGUGGUCAGGAGGUUUAUUGGGCCUAAAGCAUCCGUAGCCGGUUGCAUAAGUUUUCGGUUAAAUCUAUGCGCUUAACGUAUAGGCCGCCGAAAAUACUGCGCAGCUAGGGAGUGGGAGAGGUACACGGUACUCGAUAGGAAGGGGUAAAAUCCUUUGAUCUAUUGAUGACCACCUGUGGCGAAGGCGGUGUACCAGAACACGUUCGACGGUGAGGGAUGAAAGCUGGGGGAGCAAACCGGAUUAGAUACCCCCGUAGUCCCUGUCUCUUAUACA